CGUCUGCUGCCCGGCCCGUUAGGACAACAUUCCCCGGGGCCUUAUUUCUUCUAUCGGGAGCUGCCUCUGGUCUGGACCCUGGUCCUAAUUAUGCGGCGCCCACCUGUACCUUAGGGUCCAGGGCGAACAAAAGUCCGACGGCCGGGGCGGCGUUUUU
rnacentral:other from 1 species